rnacentral:tRNA from 1 species
GUUUUAAUAGUUUAAAAAAACAUUAAUUUUGUAAAUUAAAAUUAGAAAAAUUCUUCUUUAAAACA